rnacentral:lncRNA from 1 species
CCCAACCUUCCUUUAUUGGUAUGGAACCUUGUGGUAUAACUUCAGAAAGAUCCAUACACUUAAACACAAGUUAUUGUCUGGAAACUAGAAAAUACUAAUUUUGACCCCUUCCUUUUGUGGUUUCAAACCUUGUGUUUAAAUUUCAUAGAGAUUCAUUCACUUAAACUUAAGUCAUUGUCCGGAAACAAAGUGUCUUUGGACGAAGCUGACAACUAAAGAUUAUGAGGAAGUGAUACCAAUACAUGAGGGUCUGGAUGGGGGGGGUCUGUUAUUCUGUAAACAUUUAAUUUUCACCCCUUUUUUCUCUAAUCUUUAAAAAAAUAACCCCUUUUUUCUCUAAUCUUCAAAAAAUUAACCCCUUUUUUCUCUAAUCUUCAUUUUUUUUGCCCGUUAUUCUCUAAUCUUCAUUUUUUAAGGGCAUUAUUCUUUAAUCGUUUAACCCCAUCCAAACCCUCAUACAUAUGAACGUAAAAUAUUUUGCGGUCGAAUAAAAGGAUGAGGAGUAAACAUCAAGAAGAAAGCAAACCAAAUUAUUAUAUGAACUCUAGAGGCUCUCAAGAGCCUGUGUGGCUCACCUGAUUCUAUACUUGGGAUUUUGAAAUAAAAUUAAA